AGCUGGAAGAAAUAGAGUUUCCGGCUUCUCAUGAUGACACCGUCCCUAGGAAUGUCAUUAGAUUAGUGUACCUAACGUCACUGAGUUAGUGAGGACGGAUAAAGUUAUGAAAUUAUUCAAGGGAUGGUCACUGCAAAACUGGGUUUGUUUAGUAUGGUUUGCCUCGAUGAUUCAAAAUUAUGGUUGUAGGUCGAACUGCACCAUCCCAUUAAAUAUCAGAGACAAGUGGUACUUCCGAGACGAGCCUGACUCAGUGUUACGAGUGAGAAAGAAGAGUAUAGUUUUCAAACACACUGGACAAAAAACCAUGCGCUAUAAGUGUCUGCAGGCCAAGGGGCAAACUUUUAUGUUCAGAACACGUGUUAACGAAGAUGCCGCCCAAGGCAUAGUGUGUAUAGCGUUUGUUUCUGUUGCCGACUCUGAUGCUGAUUUUAGCCUAUGGAGACUAUCUCAAAAAGGGUCGGGUCACCCUCUGAUGGCGCCUCGCUCGAUUCCGAACAUAGUAACACCUAGCAUCAACAACAUGUGCAACGGAGCUCAGACGCAAACACGGUACUUCAUUCAACGGGCAAAGAAGACAUGCCGGUUCCCACCAACCAUUCGCUUGAUGUGGCAGACGACAAUCCAGGGAGCAUGGCGUGUAUCUUUCACAAAAUACCACAUGUACUUUAUUACCACAAAUCGAACCAUGCUGCAUUUCACCUGUGACACUAGAGAUAAGGACAACUUCCUAUUAAGGAAAACUUUCCCACAAUCGAUGGGGCAAAUACCUUCAGAACAUAACAAAUUCAUAGCAUUUAGAUGAUUUCUAAUACAUGAAAAUCCUGCCGGAAUGAGUAAAUGUGAAGAAAAUAUGGAGGCGUCGUGAAGAGGUCGAUGCGGGCUUCGAUUCCAACGGUGUGGACGUAGACGAAGUGACAGGAGGACUAGCAGACGACUCAUUCUUGCGACCAACAGGCACACUUGUUGACUUGCUAACUUGUUAACUCUUCGGCACACUUGUGUAAUAUUCCGGAAAUUUAUCCAUCGACCAUCCAGGUUCUACAUUGUAAUUUUCAGUGUAAACAUCCGUAAUUUAGUCACAUGACCUAACACUAUAAAUACAGCGCAAAGCAGUUGUCGUCAGUCAGUUAUUGUCGAAGCCCAGAGUGAGAAGACGUGGUGGACAAGUUAAACAGUAAGUUGCAAGCAAUAAAGUGAUUUACUGGGUAAGCCAGUGUUUGAUUACGUACGUUGUAACGGUGUUAGAGUGGAGGCAUUGAGGCUGUCCUUUUAAUAGGCUGACCUUAGUAGUAAGAGGCCUGCCACUGUCGAGCUCAACCAGAUAAAAGCUAGCCACAUAAUUCGUCUGUCCUGUGUACUGGACUUGACUGACGACCAGGCUGUUGUUCACAGUGUCUGUCUGAAUAAGGCUCUACAGUGUGUGCUGCGGUUAAAGGGCUGUCACUUGUACUGUGUGUCCUGAAUAAGGCUGCAGUACAAGCGUUAGUCCGAGGUCAGCCAGUCGUUGGCUGAGGGUGGUCAUACCCACUGUUAAAUUAUUUUGAUAUUAUAAAUCAUUUGGUUAACCCCUGAUCUUUGUAUGUUGAUUAACUUUCCUUGAUUUCAGAGUAAUUAUUAACCUGGGUAGGGUUAGGCCAUAUUUGUAUAUAUCUGCAGGCCCAAUUUCUAAUAACAUUCCCAAUCUUAUUUUAUCAAUGAAAGUUGCUAUUCUAAUUACACCUCAAACCCUUGAAUUAUCAAGGCACGAACUUUGAUAGCCUUCUUGUGUAUAAGGAAAUACGUUACACUUGCACUCACGCUGGCAUACAGUCGAGGUGACACAGGCACAGGUGCAGACGCGAUCACAGAAGACACAGACGCGGGCAUAGAUGACACAGACGCGAUCACAAAUGACACAGACGCGGGCAAAGAAGACACAGACGCGGGCACAGUUGACACAGACACGAGCACAGAUGACACAGACGCGGGCAAAGAAGACACAGUUGACGUCGAUUGCUUUCCUGUUGCAGCUAUCGAGGAAUCCAACGUCAUUGCGCGCUCCUUCAAAACAGUUGAAAUCGCCGCACCUUCAAAACAGUUGAAAUCGCGAGGUAGUAUUCCUGAAGCGAUGAUCUUUACAUUGGGGUUUGCCUCCCAGAUGUUCUUUAGCAGGUAGCGGUAGCGGUGGAGAGUGGUGCGGGGGUCCUCAUCUGGAAUGUCGUUCGUUCCUGCAUGGAUGACAAUGGUCCGGAAACCCCUAACAAUGCCACAAAGGAGAGCCCACAUCUGCAUGCUCCACACGGAAUCCCGAUGAAAAUCGCACGGUGGAGUCGUCGUCCAGCACAUGAUGAAGGUACUUCAGCUGAGAAUCUCCCACGAAUAACACAGACAUUUUAUCACACAACACACUUUCUCAAACUAAAACACACAAUUAUAUUUAUGAUUUCACACUGAAAGAAAGCACACACUAAGCACCUUUUAAAAAAUAGAGAAUACGAAGAAUCGUAGCACUAUGGGUUUUGAGCACCAUAUACACCUGUAUGAUACAAGUAAUAUGGCAAAGUGAUGUUCAAGGAAAAUGAUCUGAUAUCUAAAUGUUUCCACCGUAUAAGUAUGAACCAAUGAAAUUUAAGAUAUAUGUGAUCAUUAAUACGCAAAUUAAUUUAUAAUUGAACAGCUUCUGGUAGCACGCUGCUUCUGUGCAAUGAAAACUGCAUAAUGAUAUUUAAUUCAGCUUGGGUAUAUUCUAACCCACCUUAAAGAUUUAAUUAUUCAGUUUAUUUCCAUUAUCCGGAAGCCGUCUUCUCAUUAGACGUAAAUGCAUUUUCCACACCUAUCGGCAUAUCAAUUAUUACUUUAAAAACAUUGACUCGAUCGCCGAUUUGGGCAUGGAAUUUUGACGAUCUCCACUCAUUCCGGCAGGUUUUUCACAUACUAAACAUGCACAGAAUUCUAAAAACUUUACAUGUUUUAAAAGAUCUUGCCUUGUAGAUUGUGGGAAAGUUAUCCGAAUAAAUCAACAUGCAAUACAUUUUGAGAUAUAUGAUUUUAUAAAACAACGACUCCCAUAUGACCUCUCCAUUUUCUCCCCAUAUUUUCUCAUUCCGGCAGGAUUUUCAAACACUUUCCAGCAAAUUAAUGCAACUGUUUUUAUAUUUUCUAAAUGGUCUUGCCCUAUGCUUUAUGGGAAAUUUUACCGAAUAAAAAAUUAACAACUAUAACAGGAUUUAUAGUAAAAUAUUUGAUACCCAUUCUUCUAUUACGGAACCAACUUUUUUCGAUCACUGCUCAUUCCGGCAAGGAUUUAUAUUAGUUGUCAUCUUAGAUUUUAAAGUUAUAUAUAUUCUGAAAGAUGUUGCCCCGUAGAUUAUGGGAUUUUUUACCGAAUAAAAAUAUGAUGAGUAUUAGCGGAGAUAUAGGUACUUUUUUGAGUACCACUACCUCCAUUCCGGCCCCAUUCCGGCUUGGCUUUAGACCUGCCCAUUUUUCGCAGCUAUUACAAUACACUAGUUCGAUUCUUAAAACGUCGGCUAUUCAAUUGAUUUGAAUUUUAAACAAAGAAAUUAUCCUGUUUUUAAAACUUUAUCGUGCUUUGCUGAAAUUAACAUUAUUCGAUGAAGAUUACCGCUUUGUAGUAUGUGUAAGGACAAGAAUGCCGAUUAGUCAGAAUUGUACACACGAACUGCGAGAUUUACAAACUAGUCGUGCGUUCUCUGUCUCACCAAAGUAGAUUCCCGCAGAGGUCUCGACAGGGAGUAUUAAUCGGUCAUAACAGACCCAUACCAUUAUCAGAUAUUUACAAUGCUUUUUCAACCUAAGAAAGCGAGAUAUUUACUUUCUUUACUAUAAAAUAUUUACUUACACUAUUUGUUUCAUGUUAAUGGAUGAACCUAUUUUUUUGUAGUUGAUAUAUUUAUACACACGCCCCAUGUUUACUAAACUUUCUGAAUGAAUUUCGAUAUACCAUUACAUGAUUUGAAUAAUUUCCUUUUAAAAAAAAUCAUAAGAUGAUGAUUGUUCACGAUACACAAGACCCUGCUCAAAAUUAAAAAAAAGAAGAAGAAAGAAUUCCUGGGUCUAGAUAAGCUAGAGAAUUCUAGUAAUAGAACUGGAAACGGAUACAUAGCUAAACUGUAAGAAGCGGGGGAAAGGCGUACUGUCAUUUAGGGGGAAUUGGGCCCAGGUUAAUUCUUCCAAGGGGGAAAUUCUAUGCCAGGCCCAUCUUUCCGGGAGGAAUGUCUAUCCCGGGCCCAUUUUUUCGGAGGGAAAGUCUAUGCGGGGGAAAAUUCUAUGCUACAACACCAGUAUUCAAAGUGUCAGCUGUAAUGGCGGCGCCUAUGAAAGUGUGUGUGUUUUGCCACUAUCAAAGAUAUAUAGAUGUAAACUCCAGAUUUGGCACCCAAAAUGGCCAAUUAUUUUAACUGAUACUUCACUUUCACAUGUGCCCCCCCCCCCUCCCUUUCGGAAAUCCUGGAUCCGCCUCUGGUAUGUUUAUUAUCAUCAUUGCUUCAAGGCAUGUGAAUAAAAUCAGUCAUGCAUGAUACAAUUUAAAAAUUAGAUGCAAAUUUGAAUUAAGAUGUGGUCUUACAAUCCCGUUCAGAUGUCAUUUUGUAAUUAGCGUAGGUGAGACUAAUAGAAUCCUUCAUUAGUACGAGUGUGAGAUAGGGAAAUUCCACCGAGGGGACAAGAUUCGCAGUCUUGGACGAGGCUUUGCCGAGUCCUAGACAGCGAAUCUUGUUCCAGAGGUGGAAUUUCCCUAUCCCACAUGAGUAAAUAAUGAAGGAUUAUUUUUCUCACAUUUUAACUACAGUUUAGUGCAUAAAAUUUGGAGCUUUCAGAAAAUUUUAGAUUAUCAAAAUCCUCAUUUGAACUUCAAUGCAAAAACUAAUUAGAUAGGUAGAAAGAUCAUACCCGAAAAUGGUUUACACUGUAAGUGUAAACUAAAAAACCCAAGGUUGUCCACCAGAAAGCUAUACUACAUUAAAAUUUAAAGAUAACAAUGCAAAAUAUUUUUACUUCACUGUGUAACGUAAAUCUUCACCGUGUAACGUAAAUCAUAGAAAAUAUAUGACGUCACAAUCAAAUGACGUCGCAGCAGUGU